UUUUAGGAGCUAGCCGUCUAAGGUGGGACAGAUGAUUAGGGUGAAGUCGUAACAAGGUAGCCGUAGGAGAACCUGCGGCUGGAUCACCUCCUUUCUAAGGAAUAA
rnacentral:rRNA from 1 species